rnacentral:rRNA from 1 species
UACGUACCGGACAAACGUUAUUCGGAAUCACUGGGCUUAAAGAGUGCGUAGGCGGCCUUGAAGGUGGGGUGUGAAAUCCACGGCUUAACCGUGGAACUGCGCUCCAAACCGCAAGGCUUGAGGGAGACAGAGGUGAGCGGAACUGAUGGUGGAGCGGUGAAAUGCGUUGAUAUCAUCAGGAACACCCGUGGCGAAGGCGGCUCACUGGGUCUCUUCUGACGCUGAGGCACGAAAGCUAGGGGAGCGAACG